rnacentral:rRNA from 1 species
AGUGAACGCUGGCGGUAGGCCUAACACAUGCAAGUCGAACGGCAGCGCAGUAAGAGCUUGCUCUUACGGGUGGCGAGUGGCGGACGGGUGAGGAAUACAUCGGAAUCUACUUUUUCGUGGGGGAUAACGUAGGGAAACUUACGCUAAUACCGCAUACGACCUACGGGUGAAAGCAGGGGAUCUUCGGACCUUGCGCGAUUGAAUGAGCCGAUGUCGGAUUAGCUAGUUGGCGGGGUAAAGGCCCACCAAGGCGACGAUCCGUAGCUGGUCUGAGAGGAUGAUCAGCCACACUGGAACUGAGACACGGUCCAAACUCCUACGGGAGGCAGCAGUGGGGAAUAUUGGACAAAGGGCGCAAGCCUGAUCCAGCCAUACCGCGUGGGUGAAGAAGGCCUUCGGGUUGUAAAGCCCUUUUGUUGGGAAAGAAAAGCAGCAGGUUAAUACCCCGCUGUUCUGACGGUACCCAAAGAAUAAGCACCGGCUAACUUCGUG